AUCAAGAGCAUGUCAGGUUCCCUAAUGAGGAAAUCUGCAGAAAAGGACAGGCUUUGCAAUUAGAACUCAACCUUCUGACAACAAAAGAAAUGGAACAAGUCAUUUUUAAAUCAUGACAUUAGUACUAUGAACAUGGAGAGAAAGGUAAUAAUAUCUUAGCUCAACAAAUGCACAAGCAGGAAGUUCACAAGGCAAUACCAGUAAUUACCAACACAGACAGAGACAGAACCAUUGACCAUAGAAAUAUAAUUCACACAUUUAGAGACUACUAUAAGUCCUUAUAUUCUACUCAAUUUAAAGAAUACAAAACACAUUCUAAUGCAUUUUUGAUUCUCUCAGUGCAGAGGAAUUGGAUAAACCUCUGGCACUAUCAGAAUUACUAGACGCUACCUCACUUCAGAGCUGGAAAGCAGCACGCUCUUAUGGCUACCCUGCCAAACUUUAUAAAAAAAAAUCAAAUAAGUUAGCUCCCCUUUUAUUGGCAACAUUUAUAAAAGCCAGAAACAAUAAAAUUUCACCUCAAACUUUUCACUAAGUAUUAAUUACCACCUUUCCUAAGAAAAAUAAGGACUUAUUACAAUGUGCAUCAUGUGGACCAAUCUCAUUGCUGAAUAAUGACGUUAAGAUACUUUUUGAAGUUUCUAGCUGGAAGGAUUGAGAAAGUAAUUCAUUUGGUAAUAUCACAGGGCCAAACCAGAUUUAUUAAAGGCAGACACUUUGCUUCCAGUCUUCAACACCUGUUUAAUGUAAUAUGUUUACCCAUAAAGUCUAACAUCCCCAAGAUCUUAUUAUCUCUGGAUGUAGAAAAAUCUUUUGAUGUGGUUGAAUGGAGCUAUAUUUUGUAUUAACAACAUUUCAGACUACUUCCAACUAGAAUGUGGUACUAGACAAGGAUGCCCCCUGUCACUAUGCUAUUUGCAAUCACCACUGAGCCAUUGGCUGAUAACUUUAAAAAAAUCUUCAGAGAUAAAGGGGAUUAUCAGAGAAAGACAUGAACAGAAAAUAUCACUAUAUGCAGAUGAUAUGGUACUGUAUAUAUCAGACCCACAAAAUUCAGUGCCUGCAGCCUUAACUGUACUAGCAGAAUUUCAAAAGAUAUCUGGACUCAAAAUUAAUUUGAAUAAAAGUGUGCUUUUCCCAGUGAACUCUCCAGCAAACAACGUCAGAUUGUACACCUUCCCUUUUAUUAUCACAGAUCAUUUUAAAUACUUAGGAGUAAACAUCAAAAAUAAAUAUAAAGCUCUUUUUCAACAAAAUUUUGCUAUCUGCAUCGAAAAACUUAAACAAGUCAUGCAUAAAUGGUCUACUCUCCACCUCAGUUUAGCAGGGAGAAUUAACACCGCCAAGAUUAACAUCCUUCCUAAGCUUCUUUUUCUAUUUCAAAGCAUCUCCAUAUAUACUAACAAAUCAUUUUUUAAGAAAUGAUAUUCAAUCAUAACCUCAUUUAUUUGGAAUUCAAAACCUACAUUCAUCCAAAAAGGCAACCCUACAACAACCUCAAGCUGAAGGUGGCAUGGCUCUACCCAACUUCCAAAUUUAUUACUGGACGGCAAAUAUACAAGCUAUAAAAACCUGGACAUUGACACAAAUUGAUGAACACACACAGGCUUGGCCUGCAAUAGAAAUACAAUCCUGCAGAACUUCUUUAUAUUCCUUGCUUUGUGUCCCAGUAAAUACAAGUUAUCAUUAAUAUACAAACAACCCAAUUGUCCUUCCUUCACUCAGAAUACGGAACCAAUGUAGGAAGUAGAAAUCCACAGAGAAGCUUUUAUCUGUGGCACCUCUACACAAUAGCCACCUUUGUCAACCCUCUCAAACAUGCACAGUUUUUAAUGUUUGAAAAAUGUACAGGAUUAAAUCACUUAGAUUAUGUCUUUGCAUCCUACAAACAAUUACAUUCCAAAUUUAGCUUCCCAUCAACAUAAUUUUUCCACUAUCUCCAAAUCAUAAACUUUACUAAACAAAAUCUGCCCAAUUUUCCUCAUGACCCACCUAUUUCUGUUCCAGAAGAAAUAUUGAUCACUCUUGAGGACUCAGACAGCAUCUCUAUAAUAUAUAAAAACAUUUUAAAGUCCCUUCCUUUCAAAGACCCCAGAGUACAGUUGGAAAAGGAUCUUUUACUUAAAACUUCAGAAAAGGAAUGGAAGGCAGUCUUGCACAGAACUCAUUCCAGUUCCAUAUGCGCAAACCAUACAAUUAUCCAAUUUAAAAUCUUUUAUUGAGCACAUCUAUCUCAUUUAAAAUUGUCUCAAAUGUGUUCAGUGCAAGAUCCAACCUGUGAACGUUCCAAUCGUGCUCCAUCCUCAUUGGGCCACAUGUUUUGGGUGUGCAACAAAUUAACAUCAUUCUGUGCCAAAAUUUUAAGUGCCUACCUGACAGCCUUGGUGUCACACUCCCACCUAAUCCAUUAACAGCUGUGUUUGGUGUACUCCCAGAUGGGCUUAAAGUGGAGAAGGACAAACUGUAAUUGCCUUUACUACACACUAUUGGCACAUACACUUGUCUUGCUCAUCUGGAAGAAUCCUAGCCCACCUUUUAAAUCAGUUGGUAACUGAUGUUAUGUACUAUUUGAAAUUGGAAAAAAAAUCAAAUUCUCACUUAGUGGAUCUGUUCAAAACUUUUUUUUAAAAACUAGCAGGAUCUAAUCAAUAACAUUUUAGAAUAAGUGUUUAUAUUGGGAAAUAGGAUUCUCCUCCCUCUUUUCUACUCUUUAAGAUUUACUCUGGCUGUUGACCUUCCUUUCUUUCUCUUGGGUGGGGGUUGAACUGCAUUUAGCUUUGCUAAGUUUUACUUGUUUGUAUGGAAUGUUACUUGCUUUUAAUAAAUUAAAAAAAAGGUGUAUAACUAAAUUCACUCCAAAACUGAGUUAGCAGUAGGGAGUAUGGAAAUGCAACAAUUAGAUCUUUACACAAACACUGCCAUCCAUUUUUCUAAGUUACAGCAUUUGUGCAUUAUGCUCAUGCCUGAACCUUACACUGCCAGAUGUAUGCGGAGAAAAAAAAAACUUAUA